rnacentral:rRNA from 1 species
UACAGAGGUCUCAAGCGUUGUUCGGAUUCAUUGGGCGUAAAGGGUGCGUAGGUGGCGCUGUAAGUCGGGUGUGAAAUUUCGGAGCUUAACUCCGAAACUGCAUUCCAUACUGCGGUGCUUGAGGACUGGAGAGGAGACUGGAAUUCAUGGUGUAGCAGUGAAAUGCGUAGAGAUCAUGAGGAAGACCAGUGGCGAAGGCGGGUCUCUGGACAGUUCCUGACACUGAGGCACGAAGGCCAGGGGAGCAAACAGG